GUAGCUUGCUACUUUUGAUGGCGACCGGCGCACGGGUGCGUAACGCGUAUCCAACUUUCCCGUUACUCUCGGAUAGCCUUCCGAAAGGGAGAUUAAUACGAGAUGGUGUUCAAAAUUCCGCAUGUUAUUUGAACUAAAGAUUCAUCGGUAACGGAUAGGGAUGCGUGACACUAGAUAGUUGGGGGGGUAACGGCCCACCAAGUCAACGAUGUCUAGGGGUUCUGAGAGGAAGGUCCCCCACACUGGAACUGAGACACGGUCCAGACUCCUACGGGAGGCAGCAGUGAGGAAUAUUGGUCAAUGGGCGCAGGCCUGAACCAGCCAAGUAGCGUGAAGGAUGAAGGUUCUAUGGAUUGUAAACUUCUUUUAUACGGGAAUAACAUCACCUACGUGUAGGUGCCUGCAUGUACCGUAUGAAUAAGCAUCGGCUAACUCCGUG
rnacentral:rRNA from 1 species